rnacentral:rRNA from 1 species
CCUACGGGGGGCAGCAGUGGGGAAUUUUGGACAAUGGGCGAAAGCCUGAUCCAGCCAUGCCGCGUGAGUGAAGAAGGCCUUCGGGUUGUAAAGCUCUUUUGUCCGGGAGGAAAUCCCGCAACCUAAUACGUUGCGGGGAUGACAGUACUGGAAGAAUAAGCACCGGCUAACUACGUGCCAGCAGCCGCGGUAAUACGUAGGGUGCAAGCGUUAAUCGGAAUUACUGGGCGUAAAGCGUGCGCAGGCGGUUUGAUAAGUCAGAUGUGAAAUCCCCGGGCUUAACCUGGGAACUGCGUUUGAAACUGUCAAGCUAGAGUACGUCAGAGGGGGGUGGAAUUCCACGUGUAGCAGUGAAAUGCGUAGAGAUGUGGAGGAACACCGAUGGCGAAGGCAGCCCCCUGGGAUGAUACUGACGCUCAUGCACGAAAGCGUGGGGAGCAAACAGGAUUAGAUACCCCAGUAGUC